AUGGCAGCCGCCAGCGACAAACGCCGGAAGGAUGUAGCCGAACUCGAGCACGAACUCGAGCACCACGGCGACAUACGCCUCCUCCCAACGUCAACCGCACGCUCGUACGCGCGCCCGCGGCCCCGACGCGCCCGACGCGUCCAGUGCGCACCCAUAACACGCACCGGUCGCGCCCGGCUCGCCGCCGCAUCUUACUGCCCUGCACCGCCGCGGCCUCCAUGCCGCCGCAGCCACAGCACCGCCCACCUUCAUAGGCCGACACACGGCCCGGAGCUCCAUCGCGCAGCCGCCGGCGAGCGCCGCCAUCGCUGCCAUGCCUCCGGGACGGCAAGCACGCCCAAGACACCAAGCUCAUGA
rnacentral:rRNA from 1 species